rnacentral:rRNA from 1 species
GCAUAUCAAUAAGCGGAGGAAAAGAAACCAACAGGGAUUGCCCUAGUAACGGCGAGUGAAGCGGCAACAGCUCAAAUUUGAAAUCUGGCCUCGGCCCGAGUUGUAAUUUGCAGAGGAUGCUUCUGGCGCGGUGCCUUCCGAGUUCCCUGGAACGGGACGCCACAGAGGGUGAGAGCCCCGUAUGGUCGGACACCAAGCCUGUGUGAAGCUCCUUCGACGAGUCGAGUAGUUUGGGAAUGCUGCUCUAAAUGGGAGGUAAAUCUCUUCUAAAGCUAAAUACCGGCCAGAGACCGAUAGCGCACAAGUAGAGUGAUCGAAAGAUGAAAAGCACCUUGAAAAGGGGGUUAAAUAGUACGUGAAAUUGUUGAAAGGGAAGCACUUAUGACCAGACUUGGGCCGGGCGGCUCAUCAGGGGUUCUCCCCUGUGCACUCCGCCCGGCACAGGCCAGCAUCGGUUCUCGUGGGGGGAUAAGACCGUCAGGAACGUAGCACCCUCCGGGGUGUGUUAUAGCCUGGCGGACGAUACCCCCGUGGGGACCGAGGUCCGCGCUCUGCAA